GAUGAACGCUGGCGGCGUGCCUAAUACAUGCAAGUCGAGCGAACAGACGAGGAGCUUGCUCCUCUGAUGUUAGCGGCGGACGGGUGAGUAACACGUGGAUAACCUACCUAUAAGACUGGGAUAACUUCGGGAAACCGGAGCUAAUACCGGAUAACAUGUUGAACCGCAUGGUUCAACAGUGAAAGACGGUCUUGCUGUCACUUAUAGAUGGAUCCGCGCCGCAUUAGCUAGUUGGUAAGGUAACGGCUUACCAAGGCAACGAUGCGUAGCCGACCUGAGAGGGUGAUCGGCCACACUGGAACUGAGACACGGUCCAGACUCCUACGGGAGGCAGCAGUAGGGAAUCUUCGGCAAUGGGCGAAAGCCUGACGGAGCAACGCCGCGUGAGUGAAGAAGGUCUUCGGAUCGUAAAACUCUGUUAUUAGGGAAGAACAAAUGUGUAAGUAACUAUGGACGUCUUGACGGUACCUACUCAGAAAGCCACGGCUAACUACGUG
rnacentral:rRNA from 1 species